rnacentral:rRNA from 1 species
AUUGAACGCUGGCGGCAGGCCUAACACAUGCAAGUCGAGCGGAUGAAGGGAGCUUGCUCCUGGAUUCAGCGGCGGACGGGUGAGUAAUGCCUAGGAAUCUGCCUGGUAGUGGGGGAUAACGUCCGGAAACGGGCGCUAAUACCGCAUACGUCCUGAGGGAGAAAGUGGGGGAUCUUCGGACCUCACGCUAUCAGAUGAGCCUAGGUCGGAUUAGCUAGUUGGUGGGGUAAAGGCCUACCAAGGCGACGAUCCGUAACUGGUCUGAGAGGAUGAUCAGUCACCCUGGAACUGAGACACGGUCCAGACUCCUACGGGAGGCAGCAGUGGGGAAUAUUGGACAAUGGGCGAAAGCCUGAUCCAGCCAUGCCGCGUGUGUGAAGAAGGUCUUCGGAUUGUAAAGCACCUUAAGUUGGGAGGAAGGGCAGUAAGUUAAUACCUUGCUGUUUUGACGUUACCAACAGAAUAAGCACCGGCUAACUUCGUG